rfam:Beauveria bassiana D1-5 contig00160, whole genome shotgun sequence.
UUGCAUGAUGAACCCAGAUAGGGACAGCUUAUACCUGACGGUAUUUGAUGAGAACCCUGGCGAAUAUUUUAGUAGAUGCUUCGAUUUUCUGAGU